GAUGAGAACGUAGCGAAAUGCGAUAAGUAGUGUGAAUUGCAGAAUUCAGUGAAUCAUCGAAUCUUUGAACGCACAUUGCGCCUCCUGGUAUUCCGGGAGGCAUGCCUGUUCGAGCGUCAUUAAAAUCACUCAAGCUUAGGUUUACCUAUUGCUUGGUCUUGGAGAUGGAAGCCAAUUCAUUGGAAUCCUCUUCGAAAUCCAAUGGCGAAGACCCUUGCUCUCCCAAGUGUAGUAAUAACUUAUGUCACUGAAGGAAGCGAGAAAUCUUCCGCCGUAACCCCCAUAUUUUCUAUGAUUGACCGCGGAUCAGGUAGGGAUACCCGCUGAACUUAAGCAUAUCAAUAAGCGGAGGA
rnacentral:misc_RNA from 1 species